AGUAACGGCGAGUGAAGCGGUAACAGCUCAAAUUUGAAAUCUGGCUCCCUGCGGAGUCCGAGUUGUAAUUUGUAGAAGAUGCUUUGGGUGCACGAUCCGGCCUAAGUGCCUUGGAACAGGACGUCGUAGAGGGUGAGAAUCCCGUAUGCGGCCGGUAUCGUCGCCCGUGUAAAGCUCUUUCGACGAGUCGAGUUGUUUGGGAAUGCAGCUCAAAAUGGGUGGUAAAUUUCAUCUAAAGCUAAAUAUGGGCCAGAGACCGAUAGCGCACAAGUAGAGUGAUCGAAAGAUGAAAAGCACUUUGGAAAGAGAGUUAAACAGUACGUGAAAUUGUUGAAAGGGAAGCGCUUGCAACCAGACUUGGGCGUCGCUGAUCAUCCAAAGUUCUCUUUGGUGCACUCGACGACGCACAGGCCAGCAUCGGUUGGGGUGGUGGGAGAAAGACUGUAGGAACGUAGCUCUUUUCGGAGAGUGUUAUAGCCUGCGGUGCAAUACCGCCUACCUUGACCGAGGACCGCGCUUCGGCUAGGAUGCUGGCGUAAUGGUUGUAAGCGACCCGUCUUGAAACACGGACCAAGGAGUCUAACAUCUAUGCGAGUGUUUGGGUGCGAAACCCAUGCGCGAAAUGAAAGUGAACGUAGGUGAGAACCCUUUGAGGGGGCAUCAUCGACCGAUCCUGAUGUCUUCGGAUGGAUUUGAGUAAGAGCAUAGCUGUUGGGA
rnacentral:rRNA from 1 species